UGCAGCAACGCCGCGUGAGGGACGACGGCCUUCGGGUUGUAAACCUCUUUUAGCAGGGAAGAAGCGAAAGUGACGGUACCUGCAGAAAAAGCACCGGCUAACUACGUGCCAGCAGCCGCGGUAAUACGUAGGGUGCAAGCGUUAUCCGGAAUUAUUGGGCGUAAAGAGCUCGUAGGCGGUUUGUCGCGUCUGCUGUGAAAACCCGAGGCUCAACCUCGGGCCUGCAGUGGGUACGGGCAGACUAGAGUGCGGUAGGGGAGAUUGGAAUUCCUGGUGUAGCGGUGGAAUGCGCAGAUAUCAGGAGGAACACCGAUGGCGAAGGCAGAUCUCUGGGCCGUAACUGACGCUGAGGAGCGAAAGGGUGGGGAGCAAACAGGCUUAGAUACCCUGGUAGUCCACCCCGUAAACGUUGGGAACUAGUUGUGGGGUCCAUUCCACGGAUUCCGUGACGCAGCUAACGCAUUAAGUUCCCCGCCUGGGGAGUACGGCCGCAAGGCUAAAACUCAAAGGAAUUGACGGGGACCCGCACAAGCGGCGGAGCAUGCGGAUUAAUUCGAUGCAACGCGAAGAACCUUACCAAGGCUUGACAUAUACGAGAACGGGCCAGAAAUGGUCAACUCUUUGGACACU
rnacentral:rRNA from 1 species